GCGGACGUGGUGAAAUUGGUAGACACGCCAGAUUUAGGUUCUGGUGCCUAGCGGUGUGAGAGUUCGAGUCUCUCCGUCCGCACCA
rnacentral:tRNA from 1 species